GAUGAACGCUAGCGGCAGGCUUAACACAUGCAAGUCGAGGGGCAGCAUAAACAUUGCUUGCAAUGUUUGAUGGCGACCGGCGCACGGGUGCGUAACGCGUAUGUAACCUACCUCAAACAGGGGCAUAACACUGAGAAAUUGGUACUAAUUCCCCAUAACACUUAAGGAGGCAUCUCCUUUAGUUGAAAAGUUCCGGCGGUUUGAGAUGGACAUGCGUUGUAUUAGCUAGUUGGUGGGGUAACGGCCACCAAGGCGACGAUCAGUAGCCGGCCUGAGAGGGUGAACGGCCACAUUGGACUGAGACACGGCCCAAACUCCUACGGGAGGCAGCAGUGGGAAUAUUGGACAAUGGGGGAAACCCUGAUCCAGCGACGCCGCGUGAGUGAAGAAGUAUUUCGGUAAU
rnacentral:rRNA from 1 species